rnacentral:rRNA from 1 species
CAGUAGCCGCGGUAAAACGGAGGGAGCUAGCGUUGUUCGGAAUUACUGGGCGUAAAGCGCGCGUAGGCGGUUACUCAAGUCAGAUGUGAAAUCCCCGAGCUUAACUUGGGAACUGCAUUUGAAACUGGCAAGCUAGAGUCUUGUAGAGGGGGGUAGAAUUCCAGGUGUAGCGGUGAAAUGCGUAGAGAUCUGGAGGAAUACCGGUGGCGAAGGCGGCCCCCUGGACAAAGACUGACGCUCAGGUGCGAAAGCGUGGGGAGCAAACAGGAUUAGAUACCCGCGUAGUCCCUGUCUCUUAUAC